AGCGAACGCUGGCGGCAGGCCUAACACAUGCAAGUCGAACGCAUCCUUCGGGGUGAGUGGCAGACGGGUGAGUAACGUGUGGGAACGUGCCCUUCAGUUCGGGAUAACCCAGGGAAACUUGGGCUAAUACCGGAUACGUGCGAGAGCAGAAAGAUUUAUCGCUGAAGGAUCGGCCCGCGUCUGAUUAGCUAGUUGGUGGGGUAAUGGGCCACCAAGGCGACGAUCAGUAGCUGGUCUGAGAGGAUGAUCAGCCACACUGGGACUGAGACACGGCCCAGACUCCUACGGGAGGCAGCAGUGGGGAAUAUUGGACAAUGGGCGCAAGCCUGAUCCAGCCAUGCCGCGUGAGUGAUGAAGGCCUUAGGGUUGUAAAGCUCUUUCAGUGGGGACGAUAAUGACGGUACCCGCAGAAGAAGCCCCGGCUAACUUCGUGCCAGCCGCCGCAGUAA
rnacentral:rRNA from 1 species